UCCGGUUUGUCACCGGCAGUCUCAUUAGAGUGCCCAACUGAAUGUAGCAACUAAUGACAAGGGUUGCGCUCGUUGCGGGACUUAACCCAACAUCUCACGUCACGAGCUGACGACGGCCAUGCAGCACCUGUGUUCCCGUUCCCUUUCGGGCACACCCGGCUUUCACCAGGCUCCAGGACAUGUCAAGGGUAGGUAAGGUUUUUCGCGUUGCAUCGAAUUAAUCCACAUAAUCCACCGCUUGUGCGGGUCCCCGUCAAUUCCUUUGAGUUUUAACCUUGCGGCCGUACUCCCCAGGCGGUCGACUUCACGCGUUAGCUUCGCCACAAGGGGCUUCAAUCCCCCCCACAGCAAGUAUCCAUCGUUUAGGGCUAGGACUAC
rnacentral:misc_RNA from 1 species